UUUGCAGCUUCAUUACUCUCUCUCCCUCAAAAUGCUUUCCUCGCCAGAACCUUGCUCCGCCACGCCGAAGGCGGCAGAGCUGUCCACUCUGACCAAAUUCCACCACCAAACUAAUCCUCUCACAGUCCUCGCUCUUAAUCUCGUAUUUGUUUCAUCAAACAUUUACUGAAUUUCUCCAAAUGCCAAACAUAAACCAAGAACCAUAAGUCAAAGAAAAUGAAAUCAAAUAGCAUUGAAAUCUCAAACCUUAGGGGUUUAGUUUGCCAUCGAUGUGAAUUAAAGAGGAAUGGAAAAGGAGCUUACCUACAGUGCAGGAUUGGCCCCAAAGUUUGUAGGAUGAGUUAGUUUACUUAAAUGGUUAGGAUGAGUUAGUUUUGAAUGGCCUAAUAUAGGUACCUGAUGGUCCAAAACAUAGGUGAUGCAGUUACAAAUGAAGUUACACUUUGGCAUACAUGGAGGUUUUGCAGCAUAAAGUUUAAUAUGACAUGAAGACAACAUUAUGAAGAUGAAGAGGACAAGAUGGCCAUGGAUGAAGGUUGGAGCAGGAAGUAUGUCCUAAGGUUUAGGAUAGGUAGUUGACUUUGGUCAAAUGUUUGACCAAAAAAUCAAUAGUUGACCAAAAGUCAAUUGUAGGUAAAAAAUGUAACUUUGUGUAGAAUUUUGUGAUUCUUGACUUUGUGUAAUGAACUUGGAUAUUUUGGUAAUGAAAAUGGCAUUUGAAUUAAAUUGUGA